rnacentral:rRNA from 1 species
ACAUACGACCACAGCCGCCAGAAGAAUCAGGAUCCCGUCCGAUCUCCCACGAAAAGCUGGCGAGCGCUGGAUUAGUAGUUGGGUCGGUGACGACCAGCGAAUACCCGGUGUUGGAUGUU